GGAGGCGUGCGAGAGUGGUUGAAUCGGACAGUCUCGAAAACUGUUAGACCCGCAAGGGUCUCGAAGGUUCGAAUCCUUCCGCCUCCGCCA
rnacentral:tRNA from 1 species